rnacentral:rRNA from 1 species
UACGAACUGUGCAACCGUUAUUCGGAAUCACUGGGCUUAAAGGGUGCGUAGGCGGCUUGUUAAGUAGGGUGUGAAAUCCCCCGGCUCAACCGGGGAAUUGCGCCCUAAACUGGCGAGCUGGAGUGAGAUAGGGGUGUGUGGAACUUCCAGUGGAGCGGUGAAAUGUGUUGAUAUUGGAAGGAACGCCAGUGGCGAAAGCGACACACUGGGUCUCAACUGACGCUGAGGCACGAAAGCCAGGGGAGCAAACGGG